UAUGUAGUUACUAUGGUUACAGCUACAGUCCAUCUUUGGAAAGCGCAGAAAAGAAGAGCAGGAGAAAGGUGUGAAAGAGGAAGAUUCACUAUUAAAAUAUUUGGGACCACCUGCAGCUGAAUCAUCAGACCAGGAACAGCCAUGCACCUCAGCUGCUCCGGUUUCCUCAGAGCCACCAGAAGAGACACAACAACAGCAUGCUGCUCUUCCUGCCAACCUCACAUCACAUUUUACAUUAUCUAAUGCACACAAUGUUUUAUUGUUAGUUUAAUUUUUUGUUUUGAUUCUUUAGUGUGCACUUUCUGCUCUCAGAUGUUGCACUAUUGUUAAAAAUAUGUUUAAAAGUUAUUUUUUUGUAUAUUUAUUAUUGAACAGGUUUAUUCUUUUGCACAUAUUGUUAUAUUGUUUGUAUUAUCAUUGUUUAAAUAAAUGUGCAAUUCUUUGGA